rnacentral:rRNA from 1 species
UACGGAGGGUGCGAGCGUUGUCCGGAAUCACUGGGCGUAAAGGGUGCGUAGGCGGGUUUUUAAGUCAGAGGUGAAAUCCUGGAGCUCAACUCCAGAACUGCCUUUGAUACUGAGAAUCUUGAGUUCGGGAGAGGUGAGUGGAACUGCGAGUGUAGAGGUGAAAUUCGUAGAUAUUCGGAAGAACACCAGUGGCGAAGGCGACUCACUGGACAUGUAUUGACGCUGAGGUGCGAAAGCGUGGGGAGCAAACAGG